GAUGAAGAACGUAGCGAAAUGCGAUAAGUAGUGUGAAUUGCAGAAUUCAGUGAAUCAUCGAAUCUUUGAACGCACAUUGCGCCCCUUGGUAUCCCGAGGGGCAUGCCUGUUCGAGCGUCAUUUCACCACUCAAGCCUGGCUUGGUGUUGGGCGACGUCCUCUUUGGGGACGCGCCUCGAAACGCUCGGCGGCGUGGCACCGGCUUUAAGCGUAGCAGAAUCUUUCGCUUUGGAAGUCGGGGCCCCGUCUGCCGGAAGACCUACUCGCAAGGUUGACCUCGGAUCAGGCAGGGAUACCCGCUGAACUUAAGCAUAUCAAUAAGCGGAGGA
rnacentral:misc_RNA from 1 species